rnacentral:rRNA from 1 species
UACGGAGGGUGCAAGCGUUGUCCGGAAUCAUUGGGCGUAAAGCGCGUGUAGGCGGCCAGAAAAGUCCGCUGUGAAAACUCGAGGCUCAACUUCGAGCUGUCGGUGGAAACUUUCUGGCUAGAGUCCGGAAGAGGAGAGUGGAAUUCCUGGUGUAGCGGUGAAAUGCGCAGAUAUCAGGAGGAACACCCGUGGCGAAGGCGGCUCUCUGGGACGGUACUGACGCUGAGACGCGAAAGCGUGGGGAGCGAACAGG